UGCGUACAAGCAGUGGGAGCAGACUUUGUUCUGUGACUGCGUACCUUUUGUAUAAUGGGUCAGCGACUUAAAGUAACGAGCAAGCUUAAGCCGGUAGGUGUAGGCACAGCGAAAGCGAGUCUGAACAGGGCGUUCAGUUGCAUGUAUUAGACCCGAAACCGAGUGAUCUAGCCAUGAGCAGGUUGAAGGUGCGGUAACAC
rnacentral:rRNA from 11 species